rnacentral:lncRNA from 1 species
GAAUCUAAAUUAGAGUUAAGUGUUUAGCAUAGGAUUAAAGUAGUUCAAAGGUAGAAAGGAAAGCAAGAGAUACACAAUAAAUUAUCCUGGUUUAUCCCAUUAAUUGAGAGUAGUUUAGUCCCCUUGCACUUCCAAGUAAUUUUCACUAUAAUCACAACUAAUUACAAUUUUCUCAAGCACACAAGAAAGAUACUUCCAAUGCUCAAACACA